ACAUUGAUAACAUUAUGAUAAAUGUCAUAACAUGUACUGUAUUUUUACUGUGUUAGACAGUUUAAGUUCAAUGUUACUUUUGCCAUCCAUACAGAUGGCCAAGAUGACUGUGAUGGAGUUUCCGAACAUUCCAGAAAUCUUUAACAUUGCCCUGUCAAAACAAUCUGUACAAAAUCUAAGAAGAGACAUGGCUGAGGAAAUUCUAAAAGGAUCAAGUAUCAUUUUUCAAAGGUUGAUUUCUGUUUCUACUGUGGAAAUGAGGACCUGCCAAAACCUGUGGAUGCUGUUUGGGUGAGAUUUAUUGUUUAACUAUGUUAAACUAAAGACAGUCUAGUGGAUAUUCUGUAAAACAUCUGUAGUGAAAUUCCAGGGAUAACUUUAAAGUCAUGAAUUAUUCUAUGCAUUAUAGGAUUCCUACAGUUAACACUUCCUUUAUAUAAUUAACAGUUCUCCCCAUACAGAUUCAGUGUGGAGCUUGUGCAAGAUGGUUCCACGCACAGUGCCAGAAGCAAAGAUUACCCUUUGUAUUUUGUGUUGUGCGAAAGCCCCAAGUAAAGAGGCUCUAGGACUGUGUGAUUCUCAUUUUUUGAUUCUCAUUACUAUUAUGUCUUGUUGAUCUCUUUAAAAAUGUCAAAGUGCAAAGGUUGUACUGUAACCAGCAAGGUUACAUGUGUGGGUUAAAUAAAGUUGAUAGUAUUACACUAUAUAACAGUGGUAUUCAUAAAACAGAGUUAAUAUAAGGUGAAGUCCUUGUUUUUUUUUUUAUCAUACAACAUUUUUAACCUAACCAGCAGGACAGCAGUGAUGUGUGAACAGUAUUUCAUGAAAGUAGAAUGUGUUACAGUGAAGCUAUUAACUAUUUUUCAUUUAAAAAAAUCAUAAAAAAUGUGUAAAAGCAAUUAUUUUCAAAAUAAGUGUUGUAGAAUAACCAGCUGAAUAACCAGUGAACUGAAUUUGCUGACACUACAGUGUGUUACUGUGAAGUUACUGAGUAUUUUAUUAGUAACAUUUUUUGCGCUUCAUCCCUUCGGACUUGUCUCUCAGACACCAGCACAUUAUGUACAGAGUGGAGGAAAGCUUGUUUUCUACAUCACUACAAAAGAAAAGAGGCAUCAAUUGUGUAGUAACAACAUUUUGCUAGUGAGUUACUGAAUCUGUAAAUAUCUUGCCAACGUUACCGAACUUCCUGAGUUUCCCUCCUGGACGUUGACGCAUGUGCACUUUGAGGUGCCAGAGCUAGUAUUUUUGGGUAUAUAUUACUUAUUUUUUUAGUGUAACAGUUAUUACUGUAAAC
rnacentral:lncRNA from 1 species